UUGUAGGCAACUUUAUGUAGAUAUAUGCCUGCCAGAUAAUAUCACUCUUUCCUUCUCACACAUAUUCUAACUGGGCAGCAUGCCUCCAACUGUGUUCCACCCUGCAAGGCCUGGGCUCCCCAUGUUAAGAUUAGUUCUCUGAUUUGGCAGCUUAAAACAACACAAAUAUAUUAUCUUACAGUUCUGGAGGUUAGAGUUCCAGAAUGAAUUUCACUGGGCUAAAAUCAAGGUGCGGGUAGGGCUGGGGUUUUUUUUGUUGUUGUUGUUGUUGUUGGGUUUUUUUUUUUUUUUUUUUUUUUUUUUGAGGCUUUAGAAGAUAAUCCACUUAUUUGCCUCUUUCAGCUUCUGGAGGACCCUUCAUCGCUUGGCUUAUGGCCCUCUUCAUCCAUCUUCAAAGCCAGGAACAUUGCAUUUACUUGAACAUUCAUCUAUAGUCUCAUCUCCCUCUAGCCAUAGCCGAGAAAUGUUCUUCACUUUGAAGAAACCAUAUGGGUUGAAUUGUGGCCCCUCAAAAGAAUGCUGAGGAUGUGUUCCCAUGAGUUUCUCCCUCCUUGUACCCCACCGAAUGGAAUGUUAAAAAUACGGAGAAAGGUCAGUAUCAAGAAGACAUUUCUUAGAUAGCAUUGAUGCCGUGAUUAUUAGGGGGUGGGGGAAAGGUGUUUUGUUUGGGUUCUUUCUUCUGCCAUAGGUCCACUGUUCCUCUUACCCUUUUUCAGGAAAAUAAUUUAUUCUAAACCUGUUAUUCUAAACCUGUUUGUCUUCACUCUUAUUAUGGAUCUAAAUAGUAUCUAGAAAGUAUAGGUGUGAUGCUGUAUCUCACCACUAAGUGCUACGUUUUAAUACAAGUUACUCCAGCAUGAAAAUUCCUUACAUUAUAUUCUUAGCUACUUUAAAAAGUAAGGUAAAUGAACUUCUUUAUCAAUAUCUAAAUUAGAACUCAGGUAAAGUGAAUUUGCUUAAAGCAAGGAGCAAGGUAAAUUUAUUUAAAACAUGGGAACAUUUUAGUUAAAAUUCACAUUUCUAUCACCUCCUUCUAAAUGACAUUGUCAAAAUGCUUUCACAUGGCUUAUGGUUUCAUUUAUAAAGUAGCUAGAAAAAAGCCCAAUACUUAACCCUAAAUAGCUACUGAUUUGUUUUUGAGGUAACUGAGGCCGUACAGCCUUUAUAAAUU
rnacentral:lncRNA from 1 species